GUCUAUGGUCAUGACACCCUGAACAAGCCUGAUGUCUGAUCUUGGAAGCCAAGCAGGGUCGGGCCUGGUUAGUACUUGGAUGGGAGACCACCUAGGAAGACCAGGUGCUGUAAGCA
rnacentral:rRNA from 1 species